AUGUACACGCAUACAUAGCGGUUCCUGCGCGCCGUCUGCAGCCACCUAACGACUGCUUGCGACGUUUUGCUAGCC
rnacentral:sRNA from 1 species